rnacentral:rRNA from 1 species
GUCUACGGCCAUGCUACCCUGAACAAGCCCGAUCCCGUCUGAUCUCGGAAACUAAGCAGGGUCGGGCCUGGUUAGUACUUGGAUGGGAGACCACCUAGGAAGAGCAGGUGCUGUAGGCG